rnacentral:lncRNA from 1 species
AUAAGUCACCACCACCACCUCCUCCAGUGUACAAGUCUCCGCCACCUCCAGUCUACAAGUAUAAGUCACCACCACCUCCUUCCCCAAUUUACAAGUCACCACCACCACCUCCUCCAGUAUACAAAUCACCUCCACCACCUCCUCCAGUUUACAAAUCUCCACCACCACCAAUUUAUAAAUACAAGUCUCCUCCACUACCUCCUCCAGUGUACAAGUCAUCACCACCACCUGCUUACAAGUCUCCACCUCCUCCAGUUUACAGUUCCCCACCACCACCAAUCUACAAGUCUCCACCUCCACCCUACCAUUACUACUACAAUUCUCCUCCUCCUCCUCGUCACUACUAAGCAAUUGUAUCCAAGUUUUUGAGGUAAUAACGUUUAACCAAUAAAUUAACUUUCGCAUGAUAAACCUUAUCUCUAUCUAGACAAACUGCCAUGUGUAUAAUGCCAAAUACGUACACCUAGAUCCAUGAAAAUGAGUGGUAGAAAGUUUUCUUAAGAACCAAGGAACAGCAUUAGUAUUCCCUCUGCUUCCAAACACUUGUGUAUUAAAUAGAUUAAUGAAUUGUUUAACAUGCUCAUCUACUUGAAAAUGCACAAUACCCAUAACCCACUGAAAUUUUUGCAGGAAAAGGGAAAGAGAAUCUGUGUUUGAGAGCUUCAUGAAGAUGUUGAAGAAUAAGAAUAAAAGCCCAAUGCGAGGAUGUUUUCAAGUUUUUCUAUGUUUCCACUUUAAUUUGUAAAUUGAAUUUUGCGACUCAAUUAAUUCCCUGUUUGUGGGGUACGUAUUGUUUUACGUACCAUGCCGUACAUGUUUGUAAGGAUUUCUAUCCUAUUGGCAAAAGUCGGUUCCGUACAAUUAAUCAAUUCAUUUCACUUCUAUUGGCUCUACUAUUUAUGCAUGUUACGACAUUUUUUCUCUCUUUCCCUUAUAUUUUGCCUUUAAUAUUAUUGAGUCAAUAUUAAUAAUGGGCCUUUUUCUUAAAAUUAUACUAUUAUACAUAGGUAGUUUGGUCUAACGCUAAAUUCAUGUUUGUCUUUCUUUUAUUCCCUUUACAUCUCAAAGUAUACUAUAGUUUGUAAUCAUUGUGGUGAUGAUAUUACCAGCUGGUACUUAUAGUUUAAGGCAGAGACAUGAUAUUAACAACUAUCUCAUUGAAACAUAAGGAAAAAUCAUGACAAGUGUGAGUCUUGGUUAAUGCACAAUUUGUUAGUGGAAUUUAUAUUUAUAAAACUCAAAAAAAAUUUUUGACAAUGCUAUUACUAAUUAAUUAAGGACUUUAUUGCUAUAACUUAUCGCUUACUAGUUUAAACUAUAAAUGAUCUCAAUACUUUUCUCCAUGAUGUCGAUUUCUUUAGACUACGAAAGGGAAAAAUUAGUGACAUAUCCUCUACUGAUUACAACAUCAGCAAAAAUUAGUUAUAAACUUUUCCGGUGGUUUUAAAUCCCUCGGGCCCUAAGAUUUUUUGCUCAUCGAGUGAAUUAAGGAACAUAGGCAAUUCGUUCUACAUACCAAGUCCUUGUUUAAGAUGCAAGUACUAAAAUGCAUCCACUUCAUUAAUUUGGGAAAUUGCCAUAGUUUUUUUUAAGCAUUUUGAUUUUUUACAUGAUUCAAAAUUUUCUGAUUGGAUACAAUCACUUUGUAUCAAGAACACAUUUUCAAUCACCUUUUUUUAUCUUCUCAAUAAGAAAAUAAAAAUUUAUUCAUGCUUUUCUAACAUAUUCAAUCAUUGAUCUGAAAAUUAAAACAUUAAAAAAAAAGGACAUUUUCAAUCACUGCUUACAGGGCAACUUCCCCAUGUGAACCUCUUCAAACAAAGCCAAUAAUAUGAAGGAAUAUCUAAAUAUACUUUUGCCCUAAAGGCUGGUUGCCUUGGGGUCAAAAUUUAACCUUCCGGAGUAUAAUUACCCUGCCAAAUUUAUUUUUUUUUUAUGGGUAUAUAGUUCCAAUUUUGCCUCCUGUUAAGCUUAUAAAUAUAUUAUCACCCAGAAAAUAAAGGAAUCUUGAAUACUAACAUGUCCAUUGACUUGAGUUGUCAUCAAUUUGGCUACUUCGAUUCCAUGAGGCCAAUCCAAUUCACACUAGCUAGAGAAAAUGGUGACAAAGGCACUUAGAAAAUUAUAUGUAAUAUUGAUUGGUAGUAACCAGCUUGUAUUGAUUGGUAGUAACCAGCUUGUGCUCUUAUGAAAAAAAAAUUAGCAAAAUUUAUGAGAACAAUUAAAUUUAUUCGUACAAAUCAGUCAAAGAAGUAGUAUUUUAAAGACCGUGAUGAAAUUAAUACUUUCAAGGUUUCUAUUAGGAAGACUUCCUUUGUUGGUGAAACUACACUAGGCAGAGUUAUAUGGUAUCAAAAAAUAGUUGUAUUCACGUCUGUUCUUUUUUUCUUCCUUAAGUUUUUUUCUUUAUUCUCGUGACUUCAAAAAUACGAACUCAAGAAAUUGGCUGCUCAAUCAGUAUGUCAUACAGGCUUCGCUAGUGAGGUAUAACUUCACAACUAGAGCCAAUAGAAAUCGUCAAAUGAUUUUUUGACAUCCAAAUUAAGCAAUAAAUUUUGUUUUCAUUUCAUAACAUAUAAUAGUACUACUUCAUGGGAGAUUUUAUAGUUUCUUUAGGGUAUCAUACCUACAAGUGAUAUUUGUCAUUGGAUAGUGAAAGAAGUGUUAAUGACUGUAAGAUUAAAUAUUGUUAAAUAUUGAAAAUUUAAACUAUUUAUCUUUAUUGAGAGAUACAACUUAAAGAAUCCUACCCAAAAGAGACUAUAGAAUUUUCUCUGUUUUUCAUCAUCUGUAGACAUAAAUUUUGCCUAUACAAUGUGAUAGCAUUUUUUCAAAAAGACAAGAUGGAAAAUUGCCCCCCUUGAACGGAAAAUUGCCCCCUUGUCAAUUCUUUAAAAAAGAAUACUCGCUCCUGAACAUAGCCUGUUCAUCUACACUGUCCCGCAGAAUUCUAGAAAGUUAGGCAAAACUAGACUAGUUGACAGGUAUAAUCAUACCCAACAUCAGGAACAAGCAGUUGCACAUUUCAAAAUUCGCUGCUGCAACAACUAAUUUGAUGACUUACAACACUACACGGUCAAACUUUGAAUGGCAAUGGAUCUUUUGAUGUAAUUUUCAUGUUACAUACAUUAAUAGAUUGAUAUCUAUAUUCUUUAAAUUAUCGUAAUAAUACUCUUAAUUACAUUUAAUUGAUAAAAAGAACACGUGUCAACACACAAAAAUGUGUAAUGUGAAUGUUACAUUAGUGUAUAGCAGAAGACCUAUAGUCUCUUCACAUCUCUUCCUGCACGUAUCAAUUCGUUUCCUCUAGAUAAUAAUCUCCCAACUCAUUUCUUUACAAAUGCACCUUUUAUGUUUUAUUACCUCCAAAAGCCUUUACAGGGUCUUUACCCUAAAAAUCAAUUCACCGACUCGCAUUUGAUAUCAGAAAUUCUUAUUACGAAUUCUACUUUACUCAAAGAUUGACUGUUAAUAAUGAGACAACGACCAUUUUGUAUUAUUACACCGUCCUUCUUGAUAGGCAAAAGAAAUAGAGAGGAAAGCGGGUCCGUAUAUGGUCUUUUAUUCAUAGAUAAUACAACAUUACGCCAUCGAGCAUUCACACAAUAUUUCAAAGUCAUUGCAUGCCUAAGACCCUGUUUGAUAAUCCAAUUCCAUACUUAAAUUUAAUGGAUUUAAAUCUUAACACAUUCAAAUCGUUUGAUAACAAAAAAUUGAACAUUUAAAUUAAUUAAGUAACACUGGAUUUCCAAGACAAAACUUGCUCCCAAAAUUAAGUGAUAAGUGAAUAACUUAUCACUGAAUGUAUGUAUUAGAUUUAAUACUUAAUAAUUUAAUAAUUUAAUGAAUUCAGAUUUCAGAUUUCAGAUUUCAGAUUUCAGUUUUCAGUUUUAUCACACACACCCUAAGUUACAAAUUAAUACCAAAACUUGUUAUUAUAUAGCUUGAGAUUCAAAAAUUUAGAGCAUAAUUCUCAACCUAACACAAUUGAAUAAUGAAUAUUCACGAUUGUCAAAACUAUCAAAGUACAAUUUGAGGACAACCCAUUCCAACGCGUACACGAUUUUUAACUUUUCUAAAGUUGUUGAGAGCUGUUGAAAGAGAUUUACCAUGUUUACAUCUUCCAAGUCUUGGGAGUAAAAAAUGAAGCCACUGAGUGCUAUAAAAAGGGGGCUAGAGGCUGCCUAGAAGCAUAUCAGCCUAAAACAAGAAUUUGUAGUAACAAUGGGGAGCAAAGCAAAAGCAACGGAGUCUAGGCUGACUCCUCUUCUUACCACUGUUUUAGUGGUAUUUGUUGCCCUUGGCUUGCCCUUGGAAACUGCAGCUGAUUAUUACAAGUAUUCAUCUCCUCCUCCUCCUCCUUACCACUAUUCCUCACCACCACCUCCUGAGUAUUCACCUCCACCAACCCCUGUUUAUAAGUUACCCCCACCAUCUCCUCCAGUUUACAAGUCCUCACCGCCACCUUACCACUACUCACCACCUCCGGUGUAUUCACCUCCACCAUCACCAGUUUACAAGUCACCGCCACCACCCCCUCCAGUAUACAACUCCCCGCCUCCACCAGUGUACAAAUACAAGUCCCCACCGCCACCUCCUCCAGUUUACAAAUCUCCACCGCCACCAAUUUACAAGUACAAGUCACCCCCACCACCUCCUCCGGUAUACAAGUCUCCUCCGCCACCUGUUUACGAGUACAAGUCUCCUCCACCACCUCCUCCAGUGUACAAGUCUCCACCACCUCCAGUUUACAAGUACAACUCACCACCACCUCCUCCCCCAGUUUACCAAUCUCCACCACCACCAGUUUACAAAUACAACUCACCACCACCUCCUCCCCCAGUUUACCAGUCUCCACCUCCACCCUAUCAUCACUACUACGGUUCUCCUCCUCCUCACCACUACUAAGCAAGUGCAUCUAAGUUUUGAGGUAAUAAUACCUAUCCAAAACUUUAUCAACACAAACUGCCAUGUAUAUCAUGCUAAGGACGUACACUUGAUCCAUGAAAAUGACUUGUAGAAGAUUUUUUUUAAGAACCAAAGAAAUACAUUAUUUUUUCGGUCUGUUUUCAAGAAUUUGAGCAGUAUACAGAUUAAAGAGUGUUUUUUUUUUUAAACUUGCUUAUCAACUUAGAAAUGCACAUAGCUGAAAGCCAACUGAAUAUUUGCAGGCAAAGGAGAAGACAAUCGGUGUUUGCGACCUUCAAGAAGAUGUAGAAGAAUAAGAAUAAAAGCCCAAUGCGAGGAUGAUUCCAAGUUUCUACGUUACCAUUUCUACAUCUAAAUUGACUCUAGCUCCUGAGUUCCAUGUUUAUGGGGUUUGUACCGUUUUACGUACCAUGCAGUGCAUGCUUGUAAGGUUUUCUGUCCUGUUGGCAAACUGCAGGUCCAUAUAAUAAAAGAAUACUAUUUAUAUUACGACACUUUUCUCUCUUUCUCUUAUAUUUUGUCUUUAAUAUUGUUGAUCAUUUUUUUUUAUUUAUCAAAAGUAUCAAAUGUUUAGGUAAUUUGGUCUAAUGCUAAUUGUUUUACUUCUCUUUUUCACCUACACCCCUUUUCAACUCAAAGGAUGCUAUAGUUUGUGAUAAUUGUUUAAGACCGAAGCAUGAUACUAAUAAAUAUCUCAUUGAAAGUCAAGGAAACUAACAUUAUGAAAAGUGUAAAUCUUGAUUUGAUGAAACUAUUUAUUCGUGGAAUUUAGAGAUACAAAACUCAAAUUGUGACGGUGCUGUUGCUAAAUUAUUAAGGACAUUAUCACCACUAUUUUUCCCUUACUAGUUUCAACUGCAAUGAUCUCAAUCUUUUUGUGACUAAUUCUUUUCUUAAUAAUUUAUAAAUACAAAACUCACAAAGAAUAUGUGACUAAUUCUUUCCUUUCGUCUUCUAAAGAAAAUGGCAACUGUUAGUUUAUCAAGGGAAAAAGGAUCGACAUCAGUUGUUAUUGAAACUAGUAAGGAAAAAAUAAUGGUGAUAAUGUCCUUAAUAAUUUAACAACAGCACCAUCAGAAUUUGAGCUUUGUAUCUAUAAAUUCCACGAAUAAAUAGUUUCAUCAAAUCAAGAUUUACACUUUUCAUAAUGUUAAGUUUCCUUGACUUUCAAUGAGAUAUUUAUUAGUAUCAUGCUUCGGUCUUAAACAAUGAUCACAAACUAUAGCAUCCUUUGAGUUGAAAAGCGAAGUAGGUGAAAAAGAGAAGUAAAAAAUACAAUUAGCAUUCCCUCAAAUCGUAGAAAGUUAGGUAGCAUUAUAGACAAGUUGAUAGCCGUAAUGAUACUAAAAAUCAGGCAAAAGCCAGCAAUUUUACAUUUCAAAAUUCACCUAUCCAAUAACUAAUUCGAUGGCUUGCUACAUGGUCAAUCUUUGGACCCCUUCCUGCCACCACAUAUCCCUUUCCUCAAUCAGGGGCUUCUACAAUUACCAGUUCCAAUUGUAUGGUAUAGUGUAAAUAUCAACAAAUCAGAUGUAGACGCUAAUUUAAUAAAUGUGGAUGCUAAGACAACAACAUACAAAAACAUAAUAAAUUUUGGCAUUCCUUAAAAAAAUUAAGUCCCCAAAUCAAUCUCAUACACCCAAUUUCUAAUUUAAUUUAACCCAUUCCCUCUAUUAACUACACCAUACAAUACAAUCGAACCCAUUCCCUUCUAAUUUCUUCACAAAAUGCACCUUUCAUCACCGACAUGAUCUUUACCCUAGAAGACUAUUCACCGACUCUCCAUUGACGUCAGAAAAUCUAAGAGUAAUUCUACUUUACCCUAAGAUUGAUAUCAACGAGACAAUAAUGACAAUUUAGAAUUAUUACACGCCUCUUCUUAAUAGGAAAAAGAAAUACAGAAGAAAGUCAGGCCAGGUCUAAUUCUUUUUCAAAGGCAAUACAAUAUUACGAAAUCAAGCAGUCAUUCAUACAAAUAUUUCAUAGUCACCGGCCGGGGUUUGCUGAGUAGAAAAGUUUAUACAAAAACUUAAUAUUAUAUUGUUUAAGAGUUAACAAUUUAGAGCUUAAUCUCCUUGUACUUUGGACUAAACUCGAACGUGAAAGGAAAUCCCAAAACCAUAUUGGGCAUGAAUUCACACUUAAUAGACCCAAAAGAAGAUGGCGACUGGUGAAAGGCAGUGGAGACUGGUGGAGAGAUUUGAGGAAUAGAAGCAGACGGAAAAGCAACAAAUUUUUGCCGAAAAACGGUCACUUUCAUGGUUAAUUUUGCUACUCUCUAAUUGUACUUGACCAAAUACAACAAUUUCAUGGAGUUUGAUACACAAGCCCAAAUACACGAGAGUGUGUAACCUGAAUUGUUACUUAUACAUUAGUGUGUAAUAGAACGGCAAGCAUUAUGGUGGUCAUUGAGCAACUUAUAGAAGAAAUAGUCCUAUAAGCUGUUCGAUGACCAAUCGCAACUUGCUAAUUGGAUGACUAAUAUAGCUCUAGCUGUAAUGUUUUAAUUAAAUUCCAUCACUAACGUUGGGAUGACUUUUUAACCAAAAAAAAAAAAAAAGCCUUAGUUCAAGCUUUUCCCCUUAUUGUGCAUUUUUUAAAACAUUUGAUAGGCACUGCAAAUCUGUCAUUUUGGACAUCAACCCAUAUCCAACACAAGAUUAAAUUAAUAUUAGAAAAAAUUAUUACGUAAUUGGAAAAAAAAAAAGAAGAGACUAAUUUUCAUUGAAACCCACCGACAAACUAAGCGUGUCCAUAGCUUUUGAUUAGUUCAUUGCCGAUCACAUGGAGUAAAGAUUGUGCUCUUUCCCUUUCCCCCCCUUUUGGAAUCGAUACUGUGGAGAAUUGGCUUUUUCCCUCCUUUUUUUCUUUUCUUUUCUUUUCUUUCCUUCUGUACUUUGCAAAACAUAGGUAAAAAUAUGAAAUCCGAAGCAUUCUUUAAUUGGGAUUAAGUAUUGUUCUUGAAAUUAAAAAAAAAAAGAAAGAAAGAACAACAAAAAUCCCAAUCUGGGUUGAUUGUUGAGCUCUAGAUUGGCUGCAUCGUGCUUCCAUAGAAGUUCUCUUAGUGUGAUACGCUGCUUUCAAUCAGUUUUAACACGGGAAAAAGAAAAGACAUGAAAAGCAAAUUUUGUGGGGAUAAUUUCGGUAACCUCCCCUGAAGUUUUUGACUAUUUUACUGGCCUCCCUUCAGAUUUUAAAAAUUGCACUAAUCUUCCUUAAAGUUAAUUAUCUUGUAACAUUUAGAUCCAAUCAAUAAUUUAAAAAAUGAUAUUAUGAGAGAGAAAAUAAUAUGAUUUUAUCAUUGCCCCCAUCUUACUACAUUAUUUAAUUAAUUUAAUAGCAACCCACACAUUAAAGAAAAAUGCAAAAAUUUGUUGUUUAUCAUUAAAGAUCAUCAUAUCGCAUAUAACAUCAAAAAAUAGUAUAUUAUUUAUAUUUUUCACUUAAUAUAAUAUCCAAAUUACUCUUUUCAGUUACAUACCCAUUGUUAGACAAAAUCAACAACAAAUAACCAAAAAAUUUGCAACCAAAAUAUUACAAAAAAAUAAACUUUAACAUCAUAAAUAUUUUUAUCAACAUAUUAAAGUUAGUUAUUGAAAUUUUUAUGGUGUUAAACUUCACUCUUUGUAAUAUUUUGGUUACAGAUUUUUUUGAUUAUUUGUUGUUGAUCGUGUUUGACAAUGGAUUUGUAACUGAAAAGAACAAUUUGGAUCUUACAUUAAGUGAAAUAUAUAAAAAUAUUAUACUAUUUUUUAUGGCAUAUGUGAUUCUUUUUUUUUUUUUUUUUUUAUCAGAACGGCAACAUUGUAUUAAUAGUAAACCAAUUACAGUAUAGGUGGGCAACCGCCCUCACAAUCUGCCUGGACUUGUUCCAGCAGCCAAACUGGGAAGUUUUCCUUCCAUUCAGUAUUUUGUUCCAAAGUAAUAGCUACUUUAGCUAGUUUAUGGCUAACAAAGUUGUUCACCCUAUUUGCAAAGGUAAAACAACAUUCAUCAAAUUUUAUUCAUGUACAAUUGUUGCUAUCACCACGUCCUCCUCCUCCUCCUCACUGCACACUACUUGACUACCACCCUUCGCCAACCUUGCUGUUGCAUGUGCAACUAUCAUGGCCUCUCUUAGCGCCUUUGCUUCUUCGACCUUUGGACUGGCACAGCUAAAAUUUGGAACAGCCCAGGCCCACCCGCAAUCUUCCCAACCAAUCCCUGGCCACCCUUUUCCCACCCAGCUUCUAUGGCAUGUGUGAUUCAAUCCUUCUUGAUAGGAUUGGUAAUAGAGGCAGAGGGGGGAGCCGGCUGCAUCCGGUCUACUUUUCAUAGAUAGUACAAUAUUGCGAAAUCGAUCGCAUUCACACAAGAAUAUUUCGAAGUCAUUGCAUCGCUAAGUUGCAAAAAAGUACAAACACUUGUUAUUAUAUAGCUUAAGAUUCAAAACUUUAGAGCACAACCCUCCACCUAACACAAUUGAAUAAUGAAUAUUCACGAUUGUCAAAUCUGUCAAAGCACAGUUUGAGGACAACCCAUUCCAACCUGCAAAAGAUUUUUGACUUUUUUAAAGUUGUUGAGAGCUGUAAAAAGACUUACCAUGCUUACAUCUUCCGAGCCUUGGGAGUUAAAAAUGAAGGCACUGAGUGCUAUAAAAAGGGGGCUAGAGGCUGCCUAGAAGCAUAUCAGCCUAAAACAAGAAUUUGUAGUUAUGAUGGGAAGCAAAGCAAAAGCAAUGGGGUCUGGGCUGACUCCUCUUCUUACCACUGUUUUAGUGGUAUUUGUUGCUCUUGGCUUGCCCUCAGAAACUGCAGCUGAUGAUCACUACAAGUAUUCAUCUCCUCCUCCUCCUUACCACUAUCCCUCACCACCACCUCCAGUGCAUUUACCUCCACCAGUGUACAAAUACAAGUCCCCACCACCACCUCAUCAUGUUUACAAGUACAAAUCUCCACCACCCCCACCACCACACCCAGUUUACAAGUAUAAGUCGCCACCACCACCUCCUCAUCCGGUAUACAAGUACAAGUCUCCUCCGCCACCUCCUCAUCCGGUACCACACCCAGUUUACAAGUAUAAGUCACCACCACCACCUCCUCAUCCGGUACCACACCCAGUUUACAAGUAUAAGUCUCCUCCGCCACCAGUUUACAAAUAUAAGUCUCCUCCACCACCACCUCCAGUGUACAAAUACAAGUCUCCACCACCACCAGUUUACCACUACAAGUCUCCACCACCUCCUCCCCCAGUUUACAAAUACAAGUCUCCACCACCACCAGUUUACCACUACAAGUCUCCACCACCUCCUCCCCCAGUUUACAAAUACAAGUCUCCACCACCACCACCACCAGUUUACCACUACAAGUCACCACCACCUCCUCCCCCAGUUUACAAAUACAAGUCUCCACCACCUCCUCACCACUACUAAGCAAUUGCUUCUGAGGUAAUAACACUUGUUCAAUAUACACACUUCUGCAUGAUAAAACAUAUCUCUAUCAACACAAACUGUCAUGUCUAUCAUGCUAAGUGCCUUCACUUCAUCCACGAAAAUGACUGCUAGAAAAUUUUUUUUUAAGUUACCAAAGAAAAGCAUCAUUUUUUCCCUCUGUUAUCAAGAACUUGUACAGUAUGUAGAUUAAAGAGUUUUUAUUUUAACUAGCUUAUCAACUUAGAAAUGCAUAUAACUGAUAGCCAGCUGAAUAUUUGCAGGCAAAGGAGAAGGAAACCAGUGUUUGGACCUUCUUGAAGAUGUAGAAGCAUAAGAAUAAAAGCCCAAUGUGAAGAUGAUGAUUUCAAGUUUUUCUACGUUACCAUUUCUAUAUCUAAAUUCGUUGUAGCGCCUUAGUUCCUUUGUUUAUGGGAUUUGUAUCGUUUUACGUACCAUGCAGUACAUGUCAUGUUUGUAAGGUUUUCUAUCCUGCCGGCAAAUCGCAGGUUCCAUGUAAUAAAUCAAUACUAUUUAUAUUACGACACUUUUCUCUGUUUCUCUUAUAUUUGUUUGGAUUGAGCUUUAUUUCCCCAAAUUUAUUUGCUUACAUCAUCAUUACAAUUUCUAAUACACCUUUUUACCUUCCCGAUUACCUUUUUAUCUCACAUACAUCACAUCACAAAAAGUGCUACAGUAAAAAUAUCUCUAAUAAUUCACAAUCCAAACAGACUUUUGUCUUUAAUAUUCUUAAUCAUAUUUUUAACAAAAAUAUUCAAAUACUUAGGUAAUCUGGUCUAAUGCUAAUUGUAUGUUUUACUUUUCUUUUUCACCUGCUCCCCUUUUCAACUCAAACGGAUGCAAUAGUUUGUGAUCCCUGUUUAAGACGGAAGCAUGAUACUAAUGAAUAUAUCAUUGAAACUCAAGGAAACUAACAUUAUGAAAAGUGUAAAUCUUGAUUUGAUGCAACUAUUUAUUCGUGGAAUAUAUAGUUACAAAACUCAAAUUCUGACUGCGCCAUUGAUAAAUUAUUAAUGACGCUAUCAUCAUUAUUUAUCCCUAACUAGUUUCGACUACAACUGAACCCAAUAUUUUCCCCAUGAUAAAAGUUUUUGACUAUUUUACUGGCCUCUCUUCAAAUUUUAAAAAUUACACUAAUCUUCAUUGAGAUUAAUUAUCUUGUAACAUUUAGUUCCGAUCAAGAAUUUAAAAAUGAUAUUAUGAGAGAAAAAAUAAUAUAAUUUUAUCAUUGCCCCCCAUCUUGCUAUAUUAUUUAAUAAAUUUAAUAGCAACCCACACAUUAAAGAAAAAUACUAAAAUUUGCUACUUUUCAUUAAAGAUCAAAUUGCAUAUGCCAUAAAACAUAGUAUAUCAUUCUAUGUGUUUCACCUAAUGUAAGAUCCCAAUUGUUAUUUUCAAUUACAAACCCAUUGUCAAACAUGAUCAACAACAAAUAACCAAAAAAUUUGCAACCAAAAUAUUACAAAAAAAAAUAAACUUUAACAUCAUAAAUAUUCUUACCACCUCCAGUGCAUUCACCCUCACCAACCACUAGUUUACAAGUCACCCCCACCACCUUACCACUAUUCCUCACCGCCACCCACAGUGCAUUCACCUCCACCACCACCUGUUUAUAAGUCACCUCCACCACCUUAUCAUUAUUCGUCACCACCAUCUGCAUUGCUUUCACCUCCAUCAUCACCAGUUUACAAAUCACCACCACCAUCUUCCCCAGUGUACAAGUCCCCUCCACCACCAAUUUACAAGUCUCCGCCGCUAUGUCCCCCAGUAUAUAAGUCAUCCCCACCACCGCCUCCAAUGUACAAGUCUCCGCCGACACCAAUCUACAAGUACAAUUCACCACCACCCAUGCCUCCAGUUUACAACUCCUUGCCACCACCUAUUUACAAACACAAGUCUCCCCCACCACUUCCUCCGGUAUACAAGUCAUCUCCACUGCAUCCUCCAAUUUAUGAGUCUCCUCGUCCACCAGUUUACGAGCACAAGUCUCCUCCACCGCCUCCUCCAGUAUAUAAGUCACCACCACUAUCUCCUCCAGUACAUGUCUCCACCACCGCCUAUUUACAAAUCUCCGCCUCCUCCAGUUUACAAUUCCCCACCACCACCAAUAUACAAGUCUCCACCUUCAUCCAACCAUUACUACUAUAAUACUCCUCCUCCUCCUUCGCACUACUGAGGAAUUGCAUCCAAGUUUUGAGGUAAUAACGCGUAACCAGUAUAAACUUUUGUAUGAUAAACCUUAUCCCGAUCAACACAAACUGCCAUGUGUAUCAUGCUAAGUACGUACGCUUAGAUCCAUGAAAAUGACUAGUAGAAGGUUAUCCUAAGAACCAAGGAACAUUAGUUUUCCCUCUGUUUCCAAAAACUUGUGUUUGUUUAACAUGCUUAUCAACUUGGAAAUGCGCAUUGCUAAUAGCCAACUGAAAUUUUUGCAGGCAAAUUGGGAAGAGAAUCAGUGUUUGAGCGGUUCAUGGAAGAAUAAGAAUAAAAGCCCAAUGCGAGGAUGUUCUCAAGUUUAUUAAUGUUUCCGUUCUAUUUUGUAAAUUGAUUUUUGCGACUUAAUUAAUUCCCUGUUUGUGGGGUUCGUGUUGUUUUACCUACAUGCCAUACAUGUUUGUAAUGAUUUUUAUUGCAAAAUGCCGGUCCAAUAAAAUAACUGUAUUCAUUUUGUGUCUUUUGAGUAAACUUCUAUUGGUUCUACUACUUAUUUUACGAUAUUUUUUUUCUCUCUUUCUCUUACAUUUUCCGUUUAAUAUUAUUGAUAAUUUUUUUAACAAAAAAGGUUGAUAUACUUAGGUAGUUCACUAGUUUGGUCUAAUCCUAACUUCAGGCUUGUCUUGUCUUUUAUCUCUACAUACCUUUUCAACUCAAAGGAUGCUACUAUAAUUUGUGAUCAUUGUAGUGGUGAUAUUCCGAGCUAUUACAUAUAAUUUAAGGCAGAGAUUUGAUCCUAGCGAGUAUCUCACUGACAGAUUAGGAAACAUCAUGAAAAGCGUAUAUCUUGAAUUAGUGCAACUAUUUCUUAGGGGAAUUUAUAGUUACAAAAUUCCAAAUUUUGAGAUUCUAUUACUGAUUAAUUAAGGACGUUAUCACUAUUUUUUUUUAAUUAUCACCAUUAAAUACCCCACAUACUAUAAGUUUUUUUAGGGCACAGGAAAAGAGGUGGGCCGAUGUUUAGUUAUCUACAAAAGUUCAAAUUUUGUAGAUAAAUUAUCAUGCGCCCUUAAAGAGUGCAGAAUACCAAAAAAAAAAAAAAAAAAAAAUCAUAUACUAUAACUAAUCCUAAUAUUUUUCCCUACGAUAAACUAACUCUUAUCCAUUUCUUUAGAUGAUGAAAGGAAAUAGUUAGUCACAUAUCCUCUAGUGAUUACAACAGCAUCAAAACAAAUUAGCACUCUUUUCCCGUAGUUUAAAAAUCCCUCAGCCACUAAGAUUUUGCAUAUCGAACGAAUUAAGGAACAUAGGCGCUUCGUGCUGGACAACAGUGUCCUUGUUGACGAUGCAUCCGCAUAUACUUCCUUAAGCAUUUUGAUUAUUUUAUGAUUCGAAUUUUUCUUGUCUGACAGCUGGACUUAAUUGAAAAACUCAAGUAAUAAUAUUCCAAAGCUGAUUCGUCAAAGUUUACCCAAUUGGUGAAACUUUCUUAAUAGAGCUGACUUUGUAUUACGUGACAAUGAUAUGGAUGCUCAAAGUUUUCAAUGGGAAAUUUAUAUGAGCUUUUCACGACAAAAUGUGUUCCGAUAAAGGUUCAUUCCAGAGGUUAAAAUUUUGUUUGUUAAAAAUUUACUUCUCAAGUCUUUGAUGCGAAAGUCUUGGUAUUUCCAAAAAGUCUUGAAAUCGCAGCAUAUAAGCCACUUUCUGUUCUCUUUUUUUCAUUGAAGUCUUUCCAAAUGUCAGUUCCAAAAGGAGUUUUUUAUGAAUUAUGAUAGAUAAUUAAUCUGACGGUCCAUAUAUAUGUGAUUUGCAAGAGGGUGUUUGGCGAAAUGGUUAGGCUUUCUAAGUAAUGAUAGGAAUGCCAUUUGCAAAGAAGGACAGGGGGCCUGUGCUGUCAUAUUUUAUGCGAUUUGAUCCGUUGUUGUAUAAGUUUAAAUUUUUGACGUGCAAUUGUGCUACAAUAUUAUACUAAAUAUAUGUGUGAAAUAUUUUGUCUAUAUACAUCACUUUUAUCGUGAAUACAACAGCUGAGUAUAAUAAUAUAAUAUAAUGUAAUUAUACACCAAAUAAUGUAACAAAUAUAACAAUCGAUCUGAAUUACACGAAAUCAUAACAACAAGAUCACCGCCUCCCAAAUUUUACAAAAUAAGGUUUUUUUUUUCUUUUAGAUUAUUGAAAAUUUUCAAAAAUAUUCUACAUAAUUUAAAUUUUUGUCCUACAAAAAUUAAAAGAGAUUUUAUAUUGCACGCUUAAGCUUAGAUAUAUUAAAGUUUGCCCCCAAGAUUAAUUUUCCGUUUUUAUCUAUGGUUUCUCAUCUAUGAGCCGAUCCAUAUAGCUAGUUAGACUGUACUCCUCACAUUUGUGGGAUUUGACACCCAAGAUUCUCCUUCUUGGAAUGUAAAAUGUAGAUCUUCUAUGUUAAUAAUUCAGGACCCAACUGUCAUAAACGAAAUGACUGAUCAACUCCUGUAAAUCUAAUUUAACAACAUUUAAAUGGAGAACUUUAGCUAAAAGAAUUAUGGUUAUUUUCCAACAUAUGCAAUCAUUGAUCAGAAUAUAUAUAUAUAUAUGUAAAAGACAUCUUCAGUCAUUUCAUAGCUUACCAGGCAAAUUAACCCCUAAGUGAACCUCUUCGAACAGAACUGACAAUAUGGAUGAAGAUCUGGAUAUUCUUUUAUCCUGACUCCUAAGGGAAAACUGGUUGAUCUAGAAUCAAAAUUUUACCCUAGUUACCCAGGCAACUUUUUUGUUGCCUUUUUUUUUUUUGGUAUAAAGCUCCAAUUUUGCUCCCUCUGUUAAGCUUAUAAUGCAUAUAAUUAUUAAGAUAAUAAAAGUGCCUUGAAUAGUAUUAAUAUAUGCAUUGACUUGAGCUGUCAUCAGUUCGGCCACUUCGAUUCCAUGAGGCCUUUUCAAUUCACACUAGCUAGAAAAUGGGGAGUCGUGAAAACCUUUUGUUCUAUUCAUUGCUAAGAUGCUUUUCUCUAUAAAGAGACUUCCUAACGAAAAUACUUUGUAGAUUUCUUUACUCCAAGUGGUGCAUGAAAAAUUAAUAUUUUCAAUUAACAAAUAAAAUUCCCUUUUUUUGGUGUAGAUUUCAUCCAUCCAGCUGUUAACACAUUCUAUAAAUCCGAAUUGACUAAUCUUUUCAUUUCCAUUUUCCAACUUGCGAAUACGGCAUCUUAUAUAAUGUCUGCUAAACACUAUAUAUUCUCUGCCAAAUAUGAAUACAUAUCACUUUUCUGAGCAAGUGCAGAGUCAUUAUCAUUUUUAUUCCCACAUAACAAAUUAGUGGUUGAGCAUCUUUACAUGCUAUCAGGUCACAAGUUAAUAAUCUUUUAAAGAACAUGUUAAAUUAAUUUAUUGGUAUGAAUAGUCAAAGAAGUAUGUUAAAGUUAGCAAUCUUUAAAAUAAUAUGUUAAAAUCAUUAGUACAAAUUAGUCAGAGAAGUAGCAUAAACACCACGAUGCAAUUAAUACUUUCAAUCUCAAGGUCUCUCUUACGGAAAUUUGCAUCGGUCAACAUACACAAAGCAUAAUUGUAUGCACGUCUCUCUAUCAUGGAAUUUGCAUAGGUCAAUAUACACUUGGCAUAGUUGAUAGUUGUAUGCGCGUAGGCAUGGCCAUGGUUCCAUUUGGAACUGGGAAUCAGACCGAAACCGGAUCGUUUGGAACCAGAUCAGAACCGGAAUCAAAACCAUGAAACCAGAACCGUGAUAGAACCUUGGAUAAAGGUUCCGGUUCUGGUUCUCUAAAAAAUAGAACCAGAACCAGAACCGUUAAAAAUAAUUAAUAUAAGUGGUGAGAUAAUUCAAAAAAAAUUAGUUGUGUUUAAUAGGUUUUAAGAAAGUUUAAAUUUUAUGGACUUUCUAUAUAUUUUAUUAAUUAUUUAAUUCUUUCUAUUCAUCUAAUAUUUAUCAUUAUAAUUUGCAAGUAUUAAAUUAUUACUUAAAAUUUUUUUUUUUUUUUGCUUAUUUGCUAUCAAAUGACAAGUUUUGAUGGUAGUAGCUCAUCUUCAAAAUCAAGCAAGCAAAAAAAUAUUUUUUGCAAUAUUUCUUCAAAUGGAAUCUUCAACAUUGAUGAUUGUCCAACUCAAGAAAGUCAACAUAUGACAACCAUUUGAUAGUGUAAUGUAUUUUUUAAUUUGACAAUGUAAUGUACUUUUCAUAAAAUUUAUAUUAUCUAUUUAUUACUUCUUACUUUGUAGAAUAAUAAUAAAAUUAAAAUAUGAUCUUUAUUUUGUAUUUAUUUUUUUACGUUUUAUUUGAAAUUUUAAAUAUAUUGUUAUAUUCGUAUUAAAAUUGGUAAGGAUAAGGAAUUAAAUAAAAUUGUAUAUAACCAUACAGAACCGGAAACCGGAACCAGAACUAUAAGGAACCAAAAUCAGAACUAUGCGGUUCUGGUUCUACCUCUUUGAAGAACCAGAACCAGAACCAUUUUAUAUGGUGCGGUUCUGGUUCUACCUUUUUUAAGAACCAGAACCGGCGGUUCUAGAACCGUGGUCAUGCCUAUAUGCACGUCUUUUAUUUUAUUUUAUUUUAUUUUUUGGUACUGUUCUUCCUUGCUUUAUAGUAUGCACGUUUAUUUCUUUGGAUUGCUUAAGAUUAUAUUGUUAAUAAUAGGGCAUUUAACCAUAAAUUAUAAUAAUUAUGAAGUAAUAUAUAUUAGAAAAUUAACACAAUUAUGAUUUUUUUUUUUUGUAAAUUCAAAUUUUAUUAAUAAGAAAUGAAAUAGACCGUAAGCAAAAACAAAAUCCUACAACAACUCUAGGACUCUACACCUUAUAUAAAAAAAAACUAGGACUCUAUACCUCAGAGAAGCUAAACAAUCCAACAAAUAAAAUGCAAAAUAAAUCACAAUAACGCAAAUUAUGUUAAGCUAAUAAAUACUACCAUGCAACAAAAUUUUUGUCUUUGUCCCGCGUGAAACUACGAAGUCAAGAAUUGACUCCUUUAACCAGUAUUGCCAGCGGGGCUCCGUCAGCAAGAUACAACUUUGCAAUUUUAUACAAUAGAAAUCCUCAAAUAGCUAUUUUGACAGGCAAAUUAAGCAUUAAUUUUGGUAUCCCUUCAUAAAAUACAAGAGUACUUUUGAUUAUAUCUAUAGAUCAACUUUCUAGGCUUGAUGUAUUAUAAGAAAAAUCUGCCUAAACAUUUUGAUAGCAUUUUUCCAAAAGCAGAAGAUGGAAAAUUGCCCAUUUGUAAUGGGGAGUUCGUGAUCUUUUCCUCAUUCUAGUCUACUUACAAUUCUUGGAAAAAGGAAUACUCACAUCUCAAACAACAGCCAGCUCAUCUGCGCUGUCCUGCAGAAUUCUAGAAAGUUAGGUGGCAAUGUUAAUAACAUUUCAAAAUUGACUGCUGCGAUAACUAAUUCGAUGGCUUACUACAUGGUCAACGUUUGGAUCCCUUCCUGCCGGCACUGUCCUUUUUGGAUGCACAUUUUUUUUCUCUAGGUAAUAUAAUCACCCAACUCAUUUCUUUACAAAUGCACCUUUAAUCACCACCAAAAGGUGUGGACAUGAUCUUUACCCUAGAAAACUAUUCACCGACAGGCAAAUUGACGUCAGAAAUACUAAGAGGAAUUCUAGUUUCCUUCGGGUUAAUGCCAUUUUGUACCCUUCAACUGUAACUCGAUUUCUAAGCUGUAAUUUGUGACAUUAUAGUCCUUAAACUAUGAAACCCUUCUUACUUAAGUAUAAUGGUUAAUACAAUACUGGUGAUUAGACAAGUAUGAAGCAACCAUAACAAAAAAAAAUCCAAAAUUAGAGAAAAGAAAGAUGUUUCGCGACCAAAGUAUGUAUCAAGGCAUAGUAUAGAAAUAAAAGUGUCAAAAUUAAGAGUUUAGGGAUAAAAAAGAAUCAAGAUAUAGUUUAGGGAUUGAUUUGUCUCAAUUAGAGCUUAGGUGUCAACUAAGAAGAGAGAUAUAGUUGAAGGGUAGAAUAUAGAUAUAAAGGUUCAAUGAUUGAUAUCAGUGAGACAAUGAUAACUUUGGAUUAUUACCAACCUCUUCUGGAUGGGAAAAGGAAAUAGAGAAGAAAGUCGGGCCUGGUCUAAGCCUGUUUCGGAGGCAAAACAACAUUAUGAAAUCACCGGCAUUCAGACAAAUAUGUCAAAGUCACCGGCAUGCUAAGUUGCAAAAUUUAUACAAACACUUAAUAUUAUAUUGUUCUUAAAAUUUUUGUUUAAGAUUUAACAAUUAGAGCACGGUACACGAAUUAGAAAUAUUAAAUAAUGAAUGUUCACGAUUGAUAAAGUUAUCAAAGUACAGUUUGAGGACAACCCAUUCCAACGUGUACAAGAUGUUUAGCCUUUGAAAAGUUAAUUAGAGAAGGUGACGAGAUUUUACGAGGCUGACAUCAUCUAGGCCUCGAGAGUAAAAAAUGAAGACACUGAGCGCUAUAAAAAGAGGGCUAGAUGUUGCCUAGAAGCAUAUCAGCCUCAGACCACGUUUUGUAGCAAUGGGGAGCAAAGCAAAAGCAAUGGGGUCUAGGCUGACUCCUCUUCUUACCACCGUUUUAGUGGUAUUUCUUGCUCUUGGCUUGCCUUCAGAAACUGCAGCUGAUUACUACAAGUAUUCAUCUCCUCCUCCUCCUUACCAUUAUUCCUCACCACCACCUCCUAUGCAUUCACCCCCACCACCGCCAGUUUAUAAGUCACCCCCACCACCUUACCACUACUCCUCACCGCCACCUCCAGUGUAUUCAUUUCCACCACCUUUGCCAAUAUACAAGUCUCCGCCACCACCUUACCAUUAUUCCUCACCACCACCCCCAGUGCAUUCACCCCCACCACCACCAGUUUACAAGUCUCCCCCACCACCUUACCAGUAUUCCUCACCACCACCUCCGGUGCAUUCACCACCACCUCCUCCAGUUUACAAGUCCCCGCCACCACCUUACCAUUAUUCCUCACCACCACUUCCAGUGCAUUCACCUCCACCAUCACCGAUUUACAAGUCUCCACCACCACCUUACCAAUAUUCCUCACCACCACCUCCACUGCAUUCACCUCCACCACCACCGAUUUACAAGUCACCUCUACCGCCUCUUCCAGUUUACAAGUCUCCGCCACCACCUUACCACUAUUCCUCACCACCACCUCCGGUGCAUUCACCUCCACCACCACCGGUUUACAAGUCACCUCCACCACCUCCUCCAGUUUACAAGUCCCCGCCACCACCUUACCAUUAUUCCUCACCACCACCUCCGGUGCAUUCACCUCCACCACCACCGGUUUACAAGUCACCUCCACCACCACCUCCAGUUUACAAGUCCCCGCCACCACCUUACCAUUAUUCCUCACCACCAACUCCAGUGCAUUCACCCCCAUCACCACCAGUUUACAAGUCUCCGCCACCACCUUACCAUUAUUCCUCACCACCAUCUCCGGUAAAUUCACCUCCACCACCACCGGUUUACAAGUCACCUCCACCACCUCUUCCAAUUUACAAGUCCCCGCCACCACCUUACCACUAUUCCUCACCACCACCUCCAGUGCAUUCACCCCUACCACCACCUGAUAGGGUAUAAUUUGUUAGUAUUUUUAUUAUUAAUUUUCCCUUCUAUCCCUGACAAAUAUUGUGUUAAUUGCUGAUAUUUACUCAUAUUUGGUAUUUGGAAUCAAUUUCAGGAAUGAAGCAGAAAACUACCAAAAAGGAGGGACUUUGUGAAAAAUAUGGAGACUUCUAAGGGCUUCAAUCCUUGGGCCCUUGAAUUGGUGGGGGACCACAAGCUAGUGAAAGGCAUUUGGUCAUUUGGGCUUCAAAGAAAGCAACGUAGAGAGACUUGGAACAAGAAGUACUUGGGAGGCUUUGUCCACAUGUGUGGGGACCACCUAGAUAGCUUUUAGUCAUCUUUCUUUUGUUGCUUUAAAAGGGGACAACGUACAGAAGCAAAAGAUAUCUAGGGCUUUAGUUUUAGUUUUUAGUUUAGUUCUAGUUUUCUUUCUUUGGACUGGCCUCUGACACACGCCAGGUAUUCGACAAUAUUCCCCAACGGGGAGAUUUUCUCAUGAGGCGUGGUUAAGCUUUUCAAGGGGACACUGACGAUUUGGUUCAAUUUACUGUGAGAUCGAAUCUGUUUUAUUUUUUUCUUCAUUUUGGUUUUUAUAUGUUCCUUGAUUUUAAUUGCUAUGGCCUUGUGUAUGAUUGAUUAGUGCACAAUAAUUAAUUAUUCAUAUAGGCUAUUUUUGCUAAAUAGGGGUAAUUGAAUCCGUAAUUGUUCGUUAUCUCUACCUCAGUAGCAACUGGCGUAAUUGGGUUUAUGUCAGGGGAGCAUAUGAUCUAAUUUAAACAAACCCUCGUAGCGUAUUUGUUGGUUAGGAUUGGGCCUUUCUAAUUAUUAUGCAAUCUAGAAAUUAAAUCCUACGGUCGUACCUAGGGUUAUUUUUGGGUUAGAGAAAUAGCUAACGGUCGUACCUUAGCUAUCGAGAAAUUAAGGAAGGGUUGGUUGUUUAUCGCGUGCAUGACAACUAUAACUAAUCUAUUGCUAAAUGUUGGAAUUAUUUCUGCAUCAAUGAUCAGUGCCUGAACCAUUUCUGAAGUGUACCCUUGGCUAGAGUUUCUCUUAAUUAUUUCUUUUAAUCAAUUAUUUUCUGCACUUGAUUUAUUUAGUUAGCAUUUAAUCCAAGAACCUCCCAUACUCUGGACUCUAGAAGAAACGAAUUAUCCCCAAUCCCUGUGGAUUCGACCCUGCUCGCCGCUAUAUACAAAAUCUGUAUUUUUCUUGAGUAGGUAAUUAUUAUUGCACAGGUUCGGCACCUGUCACCACCAGUUUACAAGUCUCCGCCACCACCUUACCAUUAUUCCCCACUACCACCUCAAACGCAUUCACUCCCACCACCAGUUUACAAGUCACCGCCACCACGUUCUCCAGUAUACAAAUCACCUCCACCACCUCCUCUAGUUUACAAAUCUCCACCACCAUCAAUUGAUAAAUACAAGUCUCCUCCAGUGUACAAGUCAUCUCCACCACCUGCUUACAAGUCUCCACCUCCUUCAGUUUACAGUUCCCCACCACCACCAAUCUACAAGUCUCCACCUCCACCCUACCAUUACUACUACAAUUCUCCUUCUCCUCCUCCUCCUUCUCACUACUAAGCAGUUGUAUCCAAGUUUUUGAGGUAAUAACGCUUAACCAAUAAAUUAACUUUCGCAUGAUAAACCUUAUCCCUAUCAAGACAAACUGCCAUGUGUAUCAUGGCAAAUCCGUACACUUAGAUCCAUGAAAAUGAGUGGUAGAAGGUUUUCUUAAGAACCAAGGAACAGCAAUAGUAUUCCCACUGCUUCCAAAAACUUGUGUAUUAAAUAGAUUAACGAAUUGUUUAACAUGCUUAUCUACUUGAAAAUGCACAAUACCCAUAACCCAUUGAAAUUUUUGCAGGAAAAGGGGAAGAGAAUCUGUGUUUGAGAGCUUCAUGAAGAUGUUGAAGAAUAAGAAUAAAAGCCCAAUGCGAGGAUGUUUUCAAGUUUUUCUAUGUUUCCACUUUAAUUUGUAAAUUGAAUUUUGCGACUCAAUUAAUUCCCUGUUUGUGGGGUACAUAUUGUUUUACGUACCAUGCCGUACAUGUUUGUAAGGAUUUCUAUCCUAUUGGCAAAAGUCGGUUCCAUACAAUUAAUCAAUUCAUUUCACUUCUAUUGGCUCUACUAUUUAUGCAUGUUACGACAUUUUUUCUCUCUUUCCCUUAUAUUUUGCCUUUAAUAUUAUUGAGUCAAUAGUAAAAUUAUACUAUUAUAAAUAGGUAGUUUGGUCUAACGCUAAAUUCAUGUUUGUCUUUCUUUUAUUCCCUUUACAUCUCAAAGUAUACCAUAGUUUGUGAUCAUUGUGGUGAUGAUACACUACAACAAAAAUGGCCUUUCCUGACAUGUCUAUAAGGACACUUGCUGGUUUUUGUCAUUAUAGCACUUCUAUCAUGACAUUUGUUAUCAAUUCACUAAUUUAUACUUUUUUUUAUUUUAUCUGAUAUAAAAAUAAUAAUGUGUCUUUAGAUUUCCUAUCAUGGCAUUUUAGAAAAUGUGAGAUACAACGAAAAAAUUAAAACAUAAAACGAUGUCGUUUGAUUUUGACGGAAGAUUCAUUUGCCAAAACACUUAGUGAAAUCUCAAAACUUUCAUUGUGUCGAUUCUUCUCCUCUCUCUCACAAACCCUCUCUCUCGGCAGACUAUCUCUCAAAACUCCCCCAUUUUGGUUCUUUUGUCUUCCGCCUUCGCCGCCGCCCCACUCCUCCAUUUUCGGUUGCUAACUUGGCCGCUUCUCUGCCCUAUUCGGUCAACCACGACACCUACACCAAUAAGUCUUCGCUCUCUUUGCUAGGACAAAAGGAAUAAAAAAACAGAUACUCAUGUUCUUUCCUUUUUCUUCUUUCCUCUGAAACCGAUCCCCAUGCUUCUCCGUACUGACUAGAUAUUCAGGUUGAGCGUGUUGAGGAGUAGAGUAGGCGAAGGUUGCCGCCAUCGUCUCAUUGAAGUCCAGCCACUACAGCGGAAAUCAUCACUGUAAAGUUUCCCGUACUCUUAUACCUUUUUUCCCCCUUAAUUGUAUUGUUUUCUUCUUUGUCUGCAAUCAUGUCGGUUAUGCUUUACUUUCGUCUUGUUAAUCGAUUUUAAGUGGCUGGAAUUGAUCAUAGGUUUGAGUAGAGUUUUAGAUUUAAAAUUCAAGCUCAGGCCGUAUAAGGAACUGAUGAAAAAGAAAUUUCAAAACUUUUCAUCCUCACUACUUGUUUGUCGGAAGGUUCGAAUGAAGAAAGAAGGAAAUUUGCAAUGGAAGUGAACAGAGAGAGAUGAAAGUGAUUGGAGAGUGAAAUUUUGCCUUGGUGAACUUUUCUUUUGUUUUUGAUCAUCAAGUGCAAUAGAAAAGUACAUUUAGUACAAUUUCCUAACUAUCUUAGAGGAAAUCUUGUUUGGAACUUUCGCUGGAUGCUAUGCAACUUAUUUUUGAUGCUUUGGUCAUGAUUGUUGUUCUGUUUGCUACAGCCCCAUAAGAAGGUUUUUUUUUAAUUAUUAUUAAAAAUUACCGCAUAGCUUGGAUACUUUUGCAUUCCAUGCACCAUGUCAGCUAUUCAUAGCACAUAGCACUAAAGUAGAGCACUCUGUAAUUUUGGAGAUGUUUCAUCUACGCAUUCAAUUAUUUCGAGUUUUUAGUCCAAUGGGUAAUAAAUUGGUUGUACAUCACUUAUUAUGUUGCAUCCCAGUUAUAUUGACCUAGAACAAUUACCAUAUAGACAAAAAGAAGAUAUUAACUGCAGCAAAUUGAAGAAUAAAAAGAGUAUUUGUCAAAUCUUUUCUCCCAACAUCCCUCGUAAUUCUUUCCCCCAACCUCAACUUAGGCACACAUUGUGUCUCUCCUUUUCUUCUUCAAACUAAAUGUUCUUCUCAUGGACAAAUAAGAAUAAUUUGAAUUUAUGAGGAUACAGAGGAAGAGAAUGAAGAUGGAGAAGUUAAUUGUUAUAACUCCAGUUAUGAUAAAGUUGAAGAUGACUUUACAUAAGAUGGAUUAAGUGACUAGUGCUCUAUUGUAAGAUGCUGGGUGCAUAUCUUAAUUUCUUUGAAUUGACUUUAUAUCUCAAAAAAAAAAAAAAUUGAAGGGAUUCUAUAUUUAUUUGACUUGUGUGGUAUUUAUUUGUGUGACUGUCUUGUUUUUUGUCUGCUUUUAUGAUCUAGAGCAUUGAUUACUCUAUAUUUUUAGACAAGAAUAUAUUGUUUUUGUUGUAGAAUUUCUGUAGAAAAAAUACAGAUCUUGCACAUUAAACCCAAUGGGGACUGUUUGCACUAUAAUGCAUUAUGGGCAACUAACAAAUUGGGAUUUGCUAGCCAUUCAAUAUUUUGUAAAUCCUCUGCAGUGUAACAUACUGGAAAUUGCCUUUCAGUUACAGUCUCCAGCGAAGUGUCCUGAUUUAGUCUUUCAAGUUGGAAUGUGACUAAUAGUUUCUUAUCUUUUAAAAGUUUGCCAAUUUCAGGAGGAUUGGUUACAUAGUUUUUUAAGAUUUCUUUCCUCCAGUGGGCACUUAAAAAAAUAGUGAUUAUUGAGUGCUUUGAUCUGUUGAAAUUUAAUUGAAAAUUUUCCGAUCAUUAAUUGACACACUUCAAAAUACUAAUGACUACAUAUGUCAAAGCACAACCUAGGAAAUUAUAUCAGCACGUGCUCCGAUUGUAUGGUACUAAACUUGCAGUGCUUCCACAAAGAAUGUGAAGAGCACAUAUAUACUGAUCAUUGAAAAGAUAGAUUUCUAUUAUGAUUCUGCUAAUGUUUGAAGCACUAAAUGUGAAAUUGCUAUCUAUUUUGAAUGAGUAUCUGUUUCUAUGAAAACUUUGGACAAAUAUGCAUAUGACAAUAGUUUCUAAUGAAGUUACAAACGAUGCUGAACCUUUGGCAUUAUACCAAGAAGGUGUUAAUCAAGUUAACUGGUUACACUUCUAAGCCCUUGCCUGUGGGCAGAAUCUGAGCUAGCUUUAUUCAUUUGUAGCAAGAAGUAAUUUUGCAUGCCAAUGCCAUGCAUUGUUGACUAACCUGUCGCAUUCAGUGUUUGGACAGGUGGGAGUAUAUUGGCGGCACUUGGUUCCUUUCAGCAAAUUUGGUUUUCAAAAUCUGAGUAAGCUUUUACAUCUACUCUACCUUUCAAUAUUCAACUUUUCUUCUUUUUUUCUCCCCAUUUUCAGUCUGUUUUAUCUCUCGAUUAAUAGGUUUGAGGAACAUGGAACUUCUUAUGUUCAAAGAAAAUGCCCGUAAAGUACUUUACUGGUGCGGACAAUUAUCACAUUAGACAGAAAUUCAUGGAGCUGACUUCACUUUGAUUAGUUCGCUGACGGUAUGGGUUGCUCGGUUUUAAUAUCCUGCUUUAUAGGAGCCCAAGCAAUGUACUAUAUAUAUACUAUACCUCUCGCGGAUCGUUGCUAAUGUUGUACAAUUACGUUACCUGACUUUUAGCAUUUCUUUCAACUGGUUAGGGAUGAGAGUCUUUUUGUUUGUGCACAAGAAAGUCUUUCAAGUUAUUGUAAAUGAGAAUCUUUCGGUAAUUUUUUGGGAUUUUAGUACUUGCUUUGAGCAUUUGUUUGCGAUUUUAGUACUUGCUAUGUUUGUACUUGUUAUUGACUUUUAAUUCAAUGAAUUAUAUUUGAGUAUCGACUUCUUCUUUUAAAUUGCUAUAUGCAUUCUGCCUUUUGGGAUAAUUUUACAAGUCCCUUGGGAUUCUGGUUGAUGGAAUGUACAGCAGGGAGGACUAAUUACAGGUUGCUUCCAUAUGAAAAAAAAACAGGAAAAAACUCCUGGCAAUUAGAAGUGUCAGCAUAGCUUAGCUUCAAAAAACACUAAUGACAAAUGGGCAUGUCAUCCAAAGCAGUGUAAAUUCACAUGGCUACGUGUCCUUAAAGCCAUAUAUUAAGACAAUUCAAGAUGCCUUCAUAAAUUGGAUAUACUACUAAUCCGCUACUGAUGUUCUAAUGCUAUACGGACACUUUCGAUUAUCACAAAAAAAAGUUUUUGUUGGCAGAGGGAAUGCUAUAGCAGCAUGGUUUUCCUGACACAUUUGAAUGUUGCCAAAGAUUUGAGGCUAUCCCCACAUUGGAAGGGACAACACUCGCCCUAGGUGUGAGGAUAGAUAAAAUGUCAGGUUAGAUUAUCUAUACUGACACCUUUAAAUGCCGCUAAAGGCCAUUUUUGUUAUAGUGAUAUUACCGGCUGGUACAUAUAGUUUAAGGCAAAGACAUGAUAUUAACCUAUCUCAUUGAAACAUAAGGAAAAAUCAUGACAAGUGUGAGUCUUGGAUAAUGCACAAUUUGUAAGUGGAAUUUAUACUUAUAAAACUCAAAAAAAAAAUUUCACAAUGCUAUUACUAAUUAAUUAAGGACUUUAUUGCUAUAAUUUAUCGCUUACUAGUUUAAACUGUAAAUGAUCUCAAUAUUUUUCUCCGUGAUGUCGAUUUCUUUAGACUACGAAAGGGAAAAAUUAGUGACGUAUCCCCUACUUAGUUAUAAACUUUUCCAGUGGUUUUAAAUCCCUCGGGCUAAGGACGUACACUUGAUCCAUGAAAAUGACUAGUAGAAGAUUUUUUUUAAGAAUCAAAGAAAUGCAUUAUUUUUUCGGUCUGUUUUCAAGAAUUUGAGCAGUAUACAGAUUAAAGAGUGUUUUUUUUUAAACUUGCUUAUCAACAUAGAAAUGCACAUAGCUGAAAGCCAACUGAAUAUUUGCAGGCAAAGGAGAAGGCAAUCGGUGUUUGAGACCGUCAAGAAGAUGUAGAAGAAUAAGAAUAAAAGCCCAAUGCGAGGAUGAUUCCAAGUUUCUACGUUACUAUUUCUACAUCUAAAUUGACUUUAGCUCCUGAGUUCCAUGUUUAUGGGGUUUGUACCGUUUUACGUACCAUGCAGUACAUGCUUGUAAGGUUUUCUGUCCUGUUGGCAAGCCGCAAGUCCAUAUAAUAAAUGAAUACUAUUUAUAUUACGACACUUUUCUCUCUUUCUCUUAUAUUUUGUCUUUAAUAUUGUUGAUCAUUUUUUUUAUCAAAAGUAUCAAAUGCUUAGGUAAUUUGGUCUAAUGCUAAUUGUUUUACUUUUAUUUUUCACCUACAUCCCUUUUCAACUCAAAGGAUGCUACAGUUUGUGAUCAUUGUUUAAGACCGAAGCAUGGUACUAAUAAAUAUCUCAUUGAAAGUCAAGGAAACUAACAUUAUGAAAAGUGUAAAUCUUGAUUUGAUGAAACUAUUUAUUCGUGGAAUUUAGAGAUACAAAACUCAAAUUGUGACGGUGUUGCUGCUAAAUUAUUAAGGACAUUAUCACCAUUAUUUUUCCCUCACUAGUUUCAUCUGCAAUGAUCUCAAUCUUUUUGUAUUGAUCGGUUGUAAUGAAUCGCGAUUGAUUGGUUGUAAUCCGCUUGUAUUGAUCCCACUAUUGUGGAUACUUCUACGCUCAACAAAAAAUAUAUAUAUUAAAGAAUUAGCAAUAUUUUUUAGAACAAGUUAAAUUUAUUCAUACAAAUUAGACAAAGAAGUAUUUUAAAGACCAUGAUGAAAUUAAUACUUCCAAGGUCUCUAUUAGGAAGACUUCCUUGCCUUGAGUUGCAGUUGCGUGCAGAUGUUUAUAUUUCAAAUUGAUGGUAUAGUAAAAAUGUUGAAUUUCUUUAUCCCCGUGACUUCAAAAAUAUGAACUCAAGAAAUUAACUUCUUAACCAGUAUGUCAUACAAGCUUCACAAGAAAUGUAUAACUUUGCAACUAGAGUCAAUAGAAAUCGUCACAUAAUUAUUAAUUUUACAUCGAAAUUAAGCCUGUAUGACAUACUGGUUCGAGGUUUGGCCACGCUACCUUCCUAUUGUUUAAAAAUUCUCACAUAAUCCCUUGUACUUUGGACUAAACUCGAAUGUGAAAAGAAACCAUCCAAGCUAGUUUGGGAUACACUUGUUGCACUUUGAACUAAACUUGAACGUGAAAGGAAAUCCCAAAACCAUAUUGGGCAUGAAUUCACACUUAAUAGACCCAAAAAAAGAUGGCGACUGGUGAUGGAGGUGAAAGGCAGUGGGGACUGGUGGAGAGAUUUGAGGAAUAGAAGCAGACGAAAAAGCAACAAAUUUUUGCCAAAAAACGGUGACUUUCAUGGUUAAUAUUGCUACUCUCUAAUUGUACUUGACCAAUACAACAGUGAAAUUGUAAUUUAUGCUGAAGAUGGAGUUUGAUACGUGAAGAGAAUUUUUUAUAAAUUUUAUUUUGACCCAUAAUGUUAUCUUUAGAUACAAAAAAUAUUUUAAAAUUUUGAUUUUGGCCCGGUUAACUUUUGGUAAACAAAAAAUGCUCAUGCUUAGUGACAGGUUGUCGAUGCCUGUGCAAAAAUAAAAAUAAAUCUAGUUGCCAAUUAAAAUAAUCAGAGCCCAAUUCUGAGUACUGGAGCAGGGACUCUAGGUGUGCAAUGGGUUACUUGAUUCACUCUAUUUCCGAAGAGUUUGCUUAACCCGAUAUACCAGAAUGGGAUUGCUUAUUCAAAAGGAAUUGUUGAUUUGUAAACAGGGCAAGUAGGGUCGUAUUCUCAGGUGGGCUGGCGGUGCGCGGUCAAUCGACGGAGAAAGAGAGGAAAGGACGCGGGUGGAGGUUUUUGGGUUUUGGCCAAGAGAAGAGGGAACGCAGGGAAAGAGAGAGAGAGGGGCGGUGCUCGGGAAGGUGAGCGGCGGACGACGGCUAGGAGGGAAAAGGAGGAGCGGCGUGCGAAGUUAGAGAGGAGGAGGGAGGCGGCAUACGAAGGAAAAAGAAAUCAAGGAAGAAGAAAGAAAGAAAAGAGGAAGAAAGAAAAGAAGAAGGAAAAAAAAUAGUUUUUGGGUUUUUUUUCAAUUUUUUUUUAUUUUUUUGAAUUUAAAUGUCAAAUUUUGAAUUUUUGAAAAAAAAAACUGAAGGUUAAAAAGGAAAAUAAUUUUAUUUUGCUAAAAAAAAAUUUUUAUUUUUUUAUUUUUUUUUGUUUUGGAUCGUCAAACACAGCGUGGGCACGCCAAAAUUAUAAAACGUCCACUGAUCUUGGGAGUCACUGACACGGCGUGGGCACGCCAAGAUUUCACUUCCUGCCAACGUCGCGAGAUGUUGAAAUUGUACUAACAUGGCGUGGGCACGCCAAGAUUGGUAAACAUCCACUGGCCUUGGGAGUCACUUUUUGAGUGUCCUCCUCGCGUGGGCAUGCCAAGAUUCUAUGUCCUGGUCACAUUGGAGAAAAAUAUGAAAAUUGACUAGUACCCAAAUGAAAAACGACAAAUCGAAAGAAUUGAACAACAAAAAAUAAUAAAGCUAAUAUUUGGGUUGCCUCCCAAAAAGCGCCUUUUUUAACGUUUUUUGUUAGACGUUGAACACCACUCUUCAAUUUGGAUGUAAUUCAAUUUUCCUUGUAAUCGGUGGUCCUACUCCGGGUUCCAAAUAAUCAUUGAGUGCAGCCUUCUUUCUUUAUUUUCUAUUCAUUUUCACCUCAUAAAUUGCUUUCAUUCCCUGAUAUUUGUUCGCAAGAAUUUUGAAUUUACCCCUACAACCAAACUCAAAAAAUUCUUGCACAAAGGAAUUAGUAGCAUGAAUAGCAAACACAGAAUGAGAGUUAACAGUAUGUUUUAUUGUAUUAAAAAUAUUAAAAUGGACUAUUUCUCCAUCGAAUUCCAUUGUGAGAGUACCCUUACUAACAUCAAUCUUAGUUUGGAUAGUACUCAAGAAUGGCCUUCCUAAUCUAAUGGAUGAUGGAUUUGGGACACUUUCAUCAUCCAUAUAAAGCACAUAAAAAUCAGCAGAAAAAAUUAAUCCAUCUACUUGCACUAAAACAUUCUCAACUACCCUAUCUGAAUAAGUAAAUAUACGAUUAGCCAAUUAAAUUAUUAUCCCUAUUUCUUUUAAAGAUCCUAAAUUUAGGGAAUCAUAAAUUGAUUUAGGCAUCACAUUAAUAGAAACUCCUAAAUCUAGCAUGGCAUUUUUUAGAUUAGAAUGUCCAAUCUUACAUGGGAUAGUAAACAUACCUAGAUUCCCGUAUUUAGGUGGUAGUUUCCUUUGUAAAAUUGCUGAAAUGUUCUCAUCUACCACAAUAUGCUUGUCCUCCCUCAAUUUCUUCUUGUUGACACACAAGUUUUUCAAGCAUUUAGCGUAUUUUGGCACUUAUUUGAUCGCGUCCAACAAAGGAAUAUUGAUUGCCACCUUGCGAAAAAUGACGGAAUUUUUAUAUCAAUGCAAGUUUAAAUUCGAUUUUAUACCCGUUGACUGCAAGUAUACAGGCCGAAAUUGUAAUGUAGGGUAUGUAUCGGGUCGAUCCCACGAGGAGCAAAUUAAACAAGUACUAAGCCCUUAUUUUUCUCUAUUAUUUAGACUCACAAUAAAUUUGAACAGAGAAAGUAUAUUGCUAAAAUUUACAAAUUUGAUAUACAAAUAUAAUUUAACAAAUGCUAAAUGCAAAAGAAGAAAUUUCACUCAAGGAAGAAUUUAGGGAUGUAGAUUCCACUUAUGGCAUAAACAACACAAAUGAAUGGAUUUACCUCUUAUUAUUAUUCUUGUUUAACUAGGGAUUCAUUUCCAAAAUUAUCAAGUCUCAUUUUCAUGAUGAAAUGGCCUAGACCAAUAUAGUUUUCCCUAUUUUCAUGGUGAAAUACUACUACUACUCUGUUUUAUUUCAUGAAAUGCUGAAUAAUCCACCUAAGUGUAUCUCUAUUUUCAUGAACAUACAACUUAAGCUCUACUCAUUUAUUUCCAUUGUUACUACCAAUUCUCAUUGAAUAAUAACAACUAUAAACAUACUAUUGGUGAUCAAUCAAUAACAAGUAAUCACAACUACACAAGUAAACAAGUUAAUACAAAAUAUAACAAGUGUAAAUCACAUUCAAGUCAUAUUAUUUAGCCAUAAGUUUCAUCUACUUCCUAGAUAAAGAAAAUUAGCUACUCAUGAAUGAUUUAACAAUCAAACUCACAAGUUUAUUAAUGCAAAAUAUCAUAAAGUACAAGUACAAGAAAGAUAAAAGAAAUCUUAGCCAAUUGAUGGUGAAUCCCUCCAAUUUCUGCUAUGUUCUUGUACAAGAUGAUUACAACUGAAAACUCCAAAUGCUUCUCUAAGGACUCCUAGCUAGAGAGAAAAUGUUACAAGAAGGAAAAACUAGCUACGUAUGGUCCUGUCCUGCUUCUCCCCUGUGUUUUUGCAUAAAAGGUAGUAGAAAGUCUAUUUUCCUCUUCAUAAUUUCCUCCAUUCAGAUUUUGUAAAAAGAAGUCAAAGAUAUGAUGUUUCCUUUUUUCUACAACUCAUUUGGUCUUCUCUUUUGUUGCAGAAGCAUGUGCCACCGAUUUCUAUCCCUCAAAAUAGUUGAAAAAAUUGUGAGAAAGGUAAAGAAAAACAGCUGUGUCACUUGCUGAGCAGAGAGACAAAUCCGAGCCUCGGAUCCGGGGGUGAAACUGGAUCCGAGGACUUCCCAAGGUGGAUCCGAGGUCGGAUCGUUCUGACCUUGGAUACACUCCUCCAAAAGUACAUACGAGGGCUCGGAUCCCUCUUGUUCACACGGAUCCGAGCUCGAAUCCGUGUUGAUUAAAUUUUCAGUUUUUCACUUCUUUCCUUUUUCUACAUUUUUGCUCCCAAUUUCUUUUGUACUUUGUCCUCUGGAUGAUCCUUGCAUUUCUUUCAACUUCGUGCACGAAUUUCAUACAUCAAUAACCUUCACAAUUUCACAAAAUUAACUCAUUAAUCCACUCAUUUAUCAAGUUUUGAACACUUAAACAAUAUUUUAAGUAAUUAUCACUAAAAGAGUUCAAAUAUGGCUUUAAUCUUCUCAAAACAUGCCAAAGAUUCAUGCCAAAUCUGUACAAAAUGUACGUUAAAUAUUCACUUAUCAAAAAACCUCUAAAAUCUCCUUUUCUUUAUCUUGCUUCUUUGAUUUCUCUAACCUGCUCGGAAAAGGCGGUAAGUUAGUUCCAACUCUAAUUAUAGAAUCAGGAAUUAUCUUUGGAUUCGCAUUUCUCAUUCCUUCCUCCUCAAGCUCUUUGUCAAUUCAAUCUUCAUUUUUAUCUUUCGGAAUCACAAGUUCGGAUCUCUGAAUUUUCUUCCCGUUCCUUAAGAUCAUUGCACUUACAUUUUUCAGGUUCAGUUCAGGUUGAGACGGUAAUUUUUCAUAAACUUGGGAUUCCAGGCGGUUGAUUGCUAUUGCCAUCUAACUCAUCUGAUUCUGCAUUACUUGCAUCUGUCCCAAUUGAUUUUUCAUACUUUGUAGGUCAGAAUCCAUUUUUUGUUGAUUAGCAAUUAAUUGCUUCAUCAUCUCUUCUAUAGACAGACUUGAGUUUGAAGGAGGUGGUGGCGGGCGAGACUGAUACUGUUAUUGAUACCCUUGCUGUCUAUUUGGUGUAAAAUCUGGCUGCCUAUUUCCUCCAUAGUUGAGGUUGGAAUGAUCUCUCCAACCAGGAUUGUAUGUAUUCGUGUACGGGUCGUAUGGCUUUCUUAGCACGGGCGCGUAACCAGCCAUGUUCACUUGCUCCGUACUUUUCUCUUGAAUCAUUGAGCACAUCUCUGUAGAAUGACCCAUAGCAGUGCAGAUCCCACACAAUUUGGCUCGUGAUGUAUUUCCUAUAGCUAAUUGCCUAACAAAGGAUGUUAAUUCGGUCAACUGCUAUUGGAUGGAAUAUGUCUCUACCUCAUUUACUUUGCGUGUCGGGACAUCUUCCCUCGUAUCAAACUGUUACGAAUUCUCCGUCAUUCCUUCAAUUAGCUCCUACGCUUCUCAAGAAAUUUUGUUCACCAAUGCCCCUUCACUUGCAGCAUCAAUUAUACUCCUGUCUCUAAAAAACAGCCCCUCGUAAAAAUAUUGGAUGAGCAAUUACUCACUUAUUUGGUGUUGAGGGAACUUGAUGCAUAACUUCUUGAAUCACUCCCAAUAAUCAUAAAGCGACUCUUCUAGAUACUGCUUGAUACCGCAUAUCUCCUUCCUUAGGCUUGCAGCUCGAGACGCAAGAAAAUAUUUGUUCAAAAACUUUUUCUUCAACUGAUCCCACGUGGUGAUGCUACUUGGUGGUAAGUAGUACAGUCAGUCUUUUGCGGAGUCCUUCAAGGAGAAGCAGAAUGCUCUCAUUUUUAUCUGUUCUUCUGUAAUUUCCGGAGGUUUCAUACUGUUGCAAACGACAUCAAACUCUUGCAAAUACUUAUACGGUUCCUCACCUGCUAAAUCAUAAAAAGAUGACAAGAGAUGAAUUAGACCAGAUUUUAACUCAAAUGGAGUGGUUAUCAUUUAAAUAUGGAAAAGUAAUACAUAAGGGCUGCUGUUUUAAAUCAGGAGCAGCAAACUCCCUUAGUAUCCGUGCAUUAGCCAUAGUGACUUCUUCUCGAUCCGAGUCACUAGAAGUAUCACUAUGUGAAUCUGUUAGUUCAACUUCUGGCUUAGGUCUUUGAGAUGAAGCACUGGAGUGCUCUUCUCUAAGUUGUCCGGUCUCUUUCCUUAUUUUAUGCGCAGUCUUCUCUACCUCGGGGUCAAAAAUUAAUUCACCUGUAUGAGAAGAAUGAGGCAUAUACUAGGAAAGCACUAGAAAAUUAGAACAAAAAUGAACCUAAAAAGAAACAAAUAAACCAACACCAGUCCCUGACAACGGCGCUAAAAAUUGACAGGUUAUCGAUGCCUGUGCAAUAAUAAAAAUAAACCUAGUUGCCAAUUAAAAUAAUCAGAGCCCAAUUCUGAGUACUGGAGCAGGGACUAUAGGUGUGUAAUGGGUUACUUGAUUCACCCUAUUCCCGAAGAGUUUGCUUAACCCGAUAUACCAGAAUGAGAUUGCUUAUUCAAAAUGAAUUGUUGAUUUGUAAACAGGGCAAGUAGGGUCGUAUCCUCAGGGAUUGGAAAAAAUUUGUUUCUUUUCAAAUCCACAGUAACAAGGAGGUGUUUUUGUAUAAACGAUAACAAUCUAAGGAGUGCAAAUAGAAAUAAAUAGAUAACUAGAAAUUAAAUGACAAUUCACUAAAAUUAGAAUAAUAAUAAUUAAAGGUCUAGCCAAGAAAUAAUUUCAGCAAUGGUUCACCUAAUUGAUCAUCGACGCAAAGGCAAUUCCAAUUAUUUACUAAUAAAUAGAUUAUAACUGUCAAACAAGUGAUGAUAGUCAACCCCUCCUUACUGUAUCAGUGAUUAAGGUAUGUCCGUUAAUCACUGCUAUAAUUGAGAAAUAAUCUUAGGUACGUCCGUAAGAUUUAAUUCCCCAAUUGCCUUACGUAUUAGAGGAGCCCUAUUCUAACCAAAUAACGCACUAUCAGGAUUAUUUUAAAUUAGCCCAUGUAUUCCCUUGAUACAAACCCAAUCAUGCCAGUUGUCACUAUUUCAAGGCAAUGAAACAAUUACGGAUUUAAUGCCCUAAUUGACUAUAGGUUACUAAAUCAAUUCACUAUCUCGAUCCAAGAUAAUCAAUCAAUUUAACAACUAAUAGCACUGCAAUCGGAGAAUAUGUAAAUACCAAUAAAUAAGAGGAAAAGAUAAAAUUAAAUCGAUCUCACAAUUUUUAGACAAACCAAAGCAUCAGUUAUUUCUUGACUAGAAAAGAAAAUUUAGUUCAUUCCUAAUGCGAAAGACCCACGCGAGAAUUCAAAAAUAAUAUUCACGGACAUCGUCUUGAUCCAGUAGAUUCAAUUGCGUUGGAAUAAGGAUAAAAAACCAAACUACAGAGAGUGAUUCAUUGUUUUGUUUCGUCUGCACUUUUUCUACACAUACGGAAGAAGAAAAACAACUAAAGGAUGAAAAAAGAAAAGUCAAAGAAAGCCACCCAAAGUAGUGCUUGGUCUCUACCAUCCUAUUUCCUAUCUAAUUACUACUUCCCUUCUGCGGCUGCCUAGAGGAAGAAAGAAAAGGAGACUCCAGGUCUUGUUCCAUCUCCUCCCUUUUCGGCAAUUCCCCAAAAGUAGAAAAGUUCCUCCGUUUACCAAAAUGCCCCUGGAAUGAGGACCGCUACUUGAACUCAUUUCCUGAUGACUGUCAAAUUGACACUUGUUAUGGUAUUUGCGUUCCACUCCCUGUAAUAAAUGCAAAUUGUCAAAAGUGAGUAAAAUUUGACAAUUAAUUUAAAUCGGGUCAGGUAAUAGGGGAAAUUAAUUAUAAAAUAAAUGAUAAAAUUGUAACCUAUCACUUAGAAUAACUAGAAAUAAAACAAAACAAGAAAUGAAAGAAAUAAGAGGGGUAGCAUAGACAUUUUGGAUUUUUCUGUUAAUUUGGAUGAUUUCCACCCACGGUCUAAUUUAAUCCAAAACACAAAUGGAUUAUGUGGAGGUUUUUAAACAAUGAGGGAGUAUCAUGAUCGAAUUCUAAAACACAAAGGGGAUUUACUAUAUUUUACUCUUAAAUUUUGGUUUCAUCUCAUAGCAUACAAGAGUACUAUUUCACUGUCUGUCGACAAAGAUUUUCUAUGGUUGAUGUACCAUAGGAAAAAUCUGCCUAUACCAUCAUUUGGAAAAAUUAUCAAUCCAAACAUAGCCACCAUAGCAUUUUUUCAAAAACACAAGAUGGAAAAUUGUCCCCUUAAACGUUGAAAUUCAUGAUCUUUCCUCGACCUAGUCUACUUGUCAAUUCUUGAAAAAAGAAUAGUCACGCCUAAAACACGGCCUCUUCAUCUGCAGAAUUCUAAAAAGUUAGGUAAACUCUAUAAACAAGUUGAUAGGUACAAUCGUACCCAAGAUCAAGUACAGGUAUUUGUACAUUCACUGCUGCAAUAACUAAUCUGAUGACUUACAAACACAUCAUGGUCAAUCGUUGAAUGGUAAUGAGUCUUUUGUUAUGCAUUAGUAUUAGUGUGUACACUCUAAUAGAUUGAUACUUAUACACUUUAAAUUAUCAUAAUAAUACCCUUAAUUAACUUUAACUCUUAAAAAGAAUACGUGUUAAUACACGAGAGUGUGUAAUAGAACGGCAAGCAUUAUGGUGGUCAUUGAGCAACUUAUAGGAGAAAUAGUCCUAUAAGCUGUUCAAUGACCAAUCACAACUUGCUAAUUGGAUGACUAAUAUAGCUCUAGCUGUAAUGUUUUAAUUAAAUUCCAUCACUAACGUUGGGAUGACUUUUUAACCAAAAAAAAAAGCCUUAGUUCAAGCUCUUCCCUUUAUUGUGCAUUUUUUAAAACAUUUGAUAGGCACUGCAAAUCUGUCAUUUUGGACAUUUUAUUAUUAACUAACCAUGAAAGCCGUGGACAUCAACCCAUAUCCAACAGAAUAUUAAAUUAAUAUUAGAAAAAAUUAUUAAGUAAUUGGAAAAAAAAAAGAAGAGACUAAUUUUCAUUGAAACCCACCGACAAACUAUACGUGUCCAUAGCUUUUGAUUAGUGCAUUCAACGUUUAAUUGUAUAGUCCAGUUCAUAGCCGAUUACAUGGAGUAAAGAUUGUGCUCUUUCCUUUUUCACCCCUUUUGGAAUCGAUACUGUGGAGAAUUGGGUUUUUCCCUCCUUUUUUUCUUUUCUUUCCUUCUGUGCUUUGCAAAACAUAGGUAAAAAUAUGAAAUCCGAAGCAUUCUUUAAUUGGGAUUAAGUAUUGUUCUUGAAAUUAAAAAGAAGAAAGAAAGAACAACAAAAAUCCCAAUCUGGGUUGAUUGUUGAGCUCUAGUUUGGCGGCAUCGUGCUUCCAUAGAAGUUCUCUUAGUGUGAUACGCUGCUUUCAAUCAGUUUAACACGGGAAAAAGAAAAGACAUGAAAAGCAAAUUUUGUGGGGAUAAUUUCAGAAAUCUCUCCUGAAGUUUUUUACUAUUUUACUGGCCUCCUUUCAAAUUUUAAAAAUUACACUAGUCUUCCUUGAGAUUAUUUAUCUUGUAACAUUUAGGUCCAAUCAAUAAUUAAAAGAUGAUAUUAUGAGAGAGAAAAAAAUAUGAUUUUAUCAUUGCCCCCAUCUUACUACAUUAUUGAAUUAAUUUAAUAGCAACCCACACAUUAAAGAAAAAUACUAAUAUUUGCUGUUUUUCAUUGAAGAUCAAAUCACAUGUGCCAUAAAAUAUAGUAUAUCAUUUUAUAUAUUUCACUUAAUGUAAGAUCCAAAUUAUUCUUUUCAAUUACAAAUCCAUUGUUAUUAUAAAAAAAAAAAUAAACUUUAACAUCAUAAAUAUUCUUAUCAAAAUAUUAAAGUUAGUUACUAAAAUUUUUAUGGUGUUAAAGUUCACUCUUUGUAAUAUUUAUGGGUUUGUAAUUGAAAAGAAUAAUUUGGAUCUUACAUUAAGUGAAAUAUAUAGAAUGAUAUACUAUUUUUUAUGGCAUAUGUGAUUCAAUCCUUGAUGAUAAAAAGCAAAUUCAAGUGUUUUCUUUAAUGUUUGUGCUGAUAUUAGAUUAAUUAAAUAAUUUAGUAGAUGAAAGAAAAUAGUGAAAUCAUAUUAUUUUUUCUUUCCUAAUAUCACUUUUUAAUUAUUGGUUGAACUUAGAUAUUACAAAAUAAUAAAUCUCAAGGGAGAUUAGUAUAAUUUUCAAAAUUUGGAGAGAAGCUAAUGAAAUAAUCAAAAACCUUAAGGGAGGUUUACAGAAUUAUCCCAAUUAUGUGGGAAUUAGAAUAAUUGUACUGGACGGCACUGCUGCAAUAGAGGGAAAGAGGAGAAGGUGCAGUUAACUUUUGUUGUUUGAAAUCCUUGGCGAAAUAUUACAGAAAGACAGAUAAAACGGUGGUUAGUACAUAAAUGUUUAUGACAGGGAAAAUGGUACGUCUGUUAAUCACAUUUGAAACAUUUUCAUUGGUGAAUGACCAAAAGUAUCAGGCUUGUCCAAUAGUUGAUCAUUGACCAAGAUAAAACCUGCCAUGGUAGAGCCGUAGAGGUACGAUCUUUUCGUACCUCUUAGUGCACAGGACAUUCCUUUGUUUCAUCUAGCUAAUAAUCUACCAACUCAUUUCUUCACAAAUGCACCUUUUAUGGUCACGUCUACGAAAGCCUUUACAGGAUCUUUACCCUAAAAAUCAAUUCACCGACUCCCAUUUGAUGUCAGAAAUUCUUCUACUUUACUCCAAGAUUGACUGUUAAUAAUAAUGAGACAAUGACCACUUUGAAUUAGGGGUGCGCAAAAUUAUCUGCUAAUCCGAAAAUCCGUCAUAUUCGAUCUGAUCCGAUCCAAAAAUUAGGAUAUUUGAUUUUUAUUAUUUGAUCGGAUCAAAAGAGGGUCGGGUAUCCGCUAAGAUACGGGGCGAGUUAGAGUCACAUAAUUAAAAAUUCGCGGGUAUCCGAUCCGCCCCGCAUAUAUAUAUUUUUUAUUUUUAUACACACUAUAAAAUAAUAAGUUAGAACCAAAUAAGUAAUUUUAUUGAACAAAUUGCAUUACAAAUAUGAGAGACUAUAGUUUAUUUACAAGAUUCAUUUGUAAAGGUCAUGAUCUUAUAUUUUAUAGAAAAAAGUUUAAUUAAUGUGGAACAUAUAUAUUAAAAAUUGUGCUACUUAUUUCAAACUUUUAUUGAUUUUGAUUUCUUUUAAUUUUUUUCCUUUAUCUUAUAUUCUCUUCAUAUGCUUGUUUCUUGGUGGGAAACCUUUUUUUAGAAAAAAAAAAUUAUUAAAUCUUAGAUGAAUGUGUAAAAUAUAAAAUUAAAUUAGUAUAAAUCAUUUUUUUAAAAAAAUUAAAUGAUAAACGGGACGGAACGGGUACCCGCUGAUCCGACCCUAUCUUAUCGGGUACCCGCUGAUAUGCGGGGCAGGUAAAAAUCAGAAAAUGACUGACCUGUAAGGUGCAGGUCGAAUCAAUCAAAUGGUGAAUGGGACGGGUAUACGACCCGCGCCAACACCUACUUUGAAUUAUCACACCAUCCUUCUUGAUAGGAUUGGUACUAGAGGUAGGGAGGGGAGUCGGCUGCAUCCGGUCUUCUUUUCAUAGAUGUCAUUCACGCAAUAUUAUAUUUCGAAGUCAUUGCAUGGCUAAGCUGCAAAAAAGUACGAACACUUGUUAUUAUAUAGCUUAAGAUUCAAAACGUUAGAGCAUAACCCUCCACCUAACACAAUUGAAUAAUGAAUAUUCACGAUUGUCAAAUCUGUCAAAGCACAGUUUGAGGACAACCCAUUCCAACCUGCAAAAGAUUUUUUACUUUUCUAAAGUUGUUGAGAGCUGUAAAAAGACUUACCAUGCUUACAUCUUCCGAGCCUUGGGAGUUAAAAAUGAAGGCACUGAGUGCUAUAAAAAGGGGGCUAGAGGCUGCCUAGAAGCAUAUCAGCCUAAAACAAGAAUUUGUAGUUAUGAUGGGAAGCAAAGCAAAAGCAAUGGGGUCUGGGCUGACUCCUCUUCUUACCACUCUUUUAGUGGUAUUUGUUGCUCUUGGCUUGCCCUCAGAAACUGCAGCUGAUGAUCACUACAAGUAUUCAUCUCCUCCUCCUCCUUACCACUAUCCCUCACCACCACCUCCAGAGCAUUUACCUCCACCAGUGUACAAAUACAAGUCCCCACCACCACCUCAUCAUGUUUACAAGUACAAAUCUCCACCACCCCCACCACCACACCCAGUUUACAAGUAUAAGUCGCCACCACCACCUCCUCAUCCGGUACCACACCCAGUUUACAAGUAUAAGUCACCACCACCACCUCCUCAUCCGGUACCACACCCAGUUUACAAGUAUAAGUCACCACCACCACCUCCUCAUCCGGUAUACAAGUAUAAGUCUCCUCCGCCACACCACACCCAGUUUACAAGUAUAAGUCACCACCACCACCUCCUCAUCCGGUACCACACCCAGUUUACAAGUAUAAGUCACCACCACCACCUCCUCAUCCGGUAUACAAGUAUAAGUCUCCUCCGCCACCACCACACCCAGUUUACAAGUAUAAGUCACCACCACCACCUCCUCAUCCGGUACCACACCCAGUUUACAAGUACAAGUCACCACCACCUCCUCCCCCAGUUUACAAAUACAAGUCUCCACCACCACCAGUUUACCACUACAAGUCACCACCACCUCCUCCCCCAGUUUACAAAUACAAGUCUCCACCACCUCCUCACCACUACUAAGCAAUUGCUUCUGAGGUAAUAACACUUGUUCAAUAUACCCACUUCUGCAUGAUAAAACAUAUCUCUAUCAACACAAACUGUCAUGUCUAUCAUGCUAAGUGCCUUCACUUCAUCCACCAAAAUGACUGCUAGAAAAUUUUUUUUAUGUUACCAAAGAAAGGCAUCAUUUUUUCCCUCUGUUAUCAAGAACUUGUACAGUAUAUAGAUUAAAGAGUUUUUUUUUAACUAGCUUAUCAACUUAGAAAUGCAUAUAGCUGAUAGCCAGCUGAAUAUUUGCAGGCA